UCUGUUUUUCAGUUUCACCAACAAUUGAUCCAUUGACAGACAUAAUAGCAAAUGUUGGUGAUAAAGUGGACUUGGAAUGCGUUGCCGCAGGAACGCCAACUCCAACUGUGGAAUGGUACUAUCGUGGACGUUACUACACUGGACAAAAGACGUUCACACGUGGUGAAAAGAAAGUUGCACAAAUAUCAUUCACAAGUGUCCACUUGGUAAACACUGGAGAAUACGCUUGUCAAGCAACAAAUGGUGCCCUUGAUGGAAACGGCGAUGUUAUUGAGGUUGAGAAAACAAUUAACCUCUUUGUGAGAUCUCCACCCCAGAUUAAUGAGGAUGCAUCCCCUACACCAGUAUACUCUUUUGUGGGAAACAGGAAAUCUGUUGAUGUCCUAUGUACCUUUUUUGGAUACCCAGUGCCCACAGUGAUCAUGAGAGAUGAAAAUGGAACAGAGAUUUCACGAGGAAAUAGCACAGCAUCCUAUACCGUCAAUGAUACAACCGAAGAUGACUUUGGAACGUUUAACUGUACUGCUGAGAGCCCAGA